UACGGGGGGGGCAAGCGUUGUUCGGAAUUACUGGGCGUAAAGGGCUCGUAGGUGGCCAACUAAGUCGGACGUGAAAUCCCUCAGCUUAACUGGGGAACUGCGUCCGAUACUGGAUGGCUUGAGUUUGGGAGAGGGAUGCGGAAUUCCAGGUGUAGCGGUGAAAUGCGUAGAUAUCUGGAGGAACACCGGUGGCGAAGGCGGCAUCCUGGACCAACACUGACACUGAGGCACGAAGGCCAGGGGAGCAAACGGG
rnacentral:rRNA from 1 species